GGGGAAGCCGGUGGGAAUCCGGCGCUGACCUGCAACCGUGUGCGGCACGAGGCCGCGAGUCGGAGCACCC
rnacentral:ncRNA from 1 species